GCCAGCAGCCAUAUCACCCUGCAGCCCAAGACUGGUUGCCCACUGAAGCUAAGCAGGGUUGAGCCUGGUCAGUACCUGGAUGGGAGACCUCCUGAGAAAACUAGGUUGCUGCUGGAA
rnacentral:rRNA from 1 species